rnacentral:rRNA from 1 species
UCUGGUGGGUAGUUUGACUGGGGCGGUCUCCUCCUAAAGAGUAACGGAGGAGCACGAAGGUUGGCUAAUCCUGGUCGGACAUCAGGAGGUUAGUGCAAUGGCAUAAGCCAGCUUGACUGCGAGCGUGACGACGCGAGCAGGUGCGAAAGCAGGUCAUAGUGAUCCGGUGGUUCUGAAUGGAAGGGCCAUCGCUCAACGGAUAAAAGGUACUCCGGGGAUAACAGGCUGAUACCGCCCAAGAGUUCAUAUCGACGGCGGUGU